AGAAGCAGGGAACCAAACAACUUUAUUUCUGGGAUUUAUGAUGUGGUUGGAGGCGAUGGGCAAACUUUUCUUAGAGGGAAAAAGUUAUAUUUUUGGGAGAUUGUGUAAUGUGGAAAAUAUGACGGAAAGCACCAAAGUACCAAAAAGUAUGUCAGUCUCCUCAUGGCUGAUUGCUGUGGUAUGAAGUGAAGUUGUGAACUUAAUCACAGCUCCCACCCACCAAUCAACUCUCAACACUAACCCUCUCAUCAUGCCUUUGGGUGAGCAGACGCCAGAUCUCUCUCCCCUGGAAGUGGAACACACAAUUGUCUGGAUAAUCAGGCCGUGAUUGCGUCUCUCGAAGUCCUUCGCCGAGUGGAGUGAUACGACGAUAAUGAUUACUGAUUUACUGCAUGUCUUGAGUAUGGCCAUUUUCUCGUCUCGGAGAUAUCCCUCCCUAAAGAGUGACACCUACUAGUUCCCACUCUCCUAAUUGAACGAGUCUGGUUGAUUCAAUGAUUAAACUGUUUGUCUGUCUAUGUUCAGAGGCUGAAAACAUCCCAUGUGACGAGCUUAAGCCGUAUAGUCACAGACAAGUGUUUGGGCCCACGUGUUGCGUGACUGCGCCAUAUGCCCCAGGGCUUUCAGGAAGUGUUCAGUACCCCUUGACUUAUUCCACAUUUUGUUGUGUUACAGACGCAAUUCAAAAUGGAUUAAAUAUAUAGUUUUUCCUCAACCAUUUACACACAAGACCCCAUAAUGACAAAGUGAAGACAUGUUUUUAGAAAUGUUUGCAAAUUUAUUACAAAUGAAAUACAAAUCUCAUUUACAUAAGUAUUCAUACCUCUGAGGUCAAUAUUUUGUAGAAGCACUUUUUUGGCAGCGAUUACAGCUGUGAGUCUUUCUGGGUAAGUCACUAGGAGCUUUCUACACAUUGAUUGUGCAACAUUUGCCCAUUCUUUUCAAAAAUCUUCAAGCUCUGUCAAAUUAGUUGUUGACCAUUUUCAGGUCUCUCCGUAGAUUUAAGUCAAAACUGUAACUCGGCCACUCAGGAACAUUCAUUGUCGUCUUGGUAAGAAACUAUAGGACAUAUUUCCAUUGUUGUGUCUUUGUCCCCUCUGUCUGUGUGCAUCAUGCCGUCACUAUUCUGGACUAGGUCUCAGGUUUAUUGCGAUGGUAAGUACAAUACUAGGGUCUGUCACUAGGUCUCAGGUUUGUGGUGGUCAGUACAGUACUAGGGUCUGUCACUACAGCUGGACUAGGUCUCAGGUUUAUUAUGGAGGUCAGUACAGUACUAGGGUCUGUCACUACAGCUGGACUAGGUCUCAGGUUUAUUAUGGGGUCAGUACAGUACUAGGGUCUGUCACUACAGCUGGACUAGGUCUCAGGUUUAUUAUGGAGGUCAGUACAGUACUAGGGUCUGUCACUAGGUCUCAGGUUUAUUAUGGUGGUCAGUACAGUACUAGGGUCUGUCACUACAGCUGGACUAGGUCUCAGGUUUAUUAUGGUGGUCAGUACAGUACUAGGGUCUGUCACUACAGCUGGACUAGGUCUCAGGUUUAUUAUGGUGGUCAGUACAGUACUAGGGUCUGUCACUACAGCUGGACGAGGUCUCAGGUUUAUUAUGGUGGUCAGUACAGUACUAGGGUCUGUCACUACAGCUGGACUAGGUCUCAGGUUUAUUGUGGUGGUCAGUACAGUACUAGGGUCUGUCACUACAGCUGGACUAGGUCUCAGGUUUAUUAUGGUGGUCAGUACAGUACUAGGGUCUGUCACUACAGCUGGACUAGGUCUCAGGUUUAUUAUGGUGGUCAGUACAGUACUAGGGUCUGUCACUACAGCUGGACUAGGUCUCAGGUUUAUUAUGGUGGUCAGUACAGUACUAGGGUCUGUCACUAGGUCUCAGGUUUAUUAUGGUGGUCAGUACAGUACUAGGGUCUGUCACUAGGUCUCAGGUUUAUUAUGGGGGUCAGUACAGUACUAGGGUCUGUCACUAGGUCUCAGGUUUAUUAUGGAGGUCAGUACAGUACUAGGGUCUGUCACUAUGGUGACUGUAUGGCUACGUUCCAAUAUCCAUACUAUUGUACCACUUGUCCAAUACACAGACUGUGUCUGAAGUGGAUCCCUGUGCCCUAUAUAGUGUACUACUUUAGCCCUAUGGGCCCUGGUCAAUAUUAGUGUACUGCACUAUAUAGUACAUUUGACAAAAUAGCUUCCUCCUAAAUGGUAUGCAUCAAAUCAAAGUUUGUCACGUGCGCCGAAUACAACAGGUGUAGACUUGUGUGGAUAUUGCAACAGAGCCAUGGAUCUGUGACACCCUCGUCCCAACCCCUUGCUGGGGGAUGUCACAUGUCUGUCUGGUAGUAGCUUCUGUAGCCUCUAGGCAGCCAUUUCUAGAACAAUCUCUAGUAUCCACAGUAGUUGAGGAACAAUGCAGUCCAGUACAGUCAUGAUUCCCUUUGGCAUCAAUGUGGACAGACAUGACCAGCUUUUCUAGAGCAUUAGAUCCUGUAUUGUGUUUCUGUGGUUCUGUAGCUGCUGCAAAUAAUGUGUACAAAACAUUAA